rnacentral:lncRNA from 1 species
GAUUUCGAUUGUUAAAUUAAAUCCAUAGUAUGAAAAAACACUAUUGAGACUAGGGAUUCCACUUUAAUGCGUGACAAUACUCGGGAAUUAGUUUCUCAGUUAUCGGGUCGGGUGAGGAAAAAAAAUAAAGGUGGUGAAAUUAAUUUGGUUCACCUGAUUCCGGUGUCCAUCGCGAUCACAUGCAAAUGCAGUAUUUAUUA